rnacentral:rRNA from 1 species
UACGUAGGGGUCGAGCGUUGUCCGGAGUUACUGGGCGUAAAGCGCGCGCAGGCGGCUCUUUAAGUCUGACGGUGAAAUGCCGGGGCUCAACCCCGAGCGUGCCGGAGAUACUGGAGGGCUGGAGACGAGUAGAGGCAAGCGGAAUUCCGGGUGUAGCGGUGGAAUGCGUAGAGAUCCGGAAGAACACCGGAGGCGAAGGCGGCUUGCUGGGCUCGGUCUGACGCUGAGGCGGCGAAAGCGUGGGGAGCGAACAGG